rnacentral:lncRNA from 12 species
UCUCAGCAAAGAAUGAAUCUUCUCUGUAAAGUAAGCCAUGCCCAGAAUAUUGAUGAUUUAAAGAACAUAAUAUCACAGCCUUAAAAGGAUCUUCAUUUAGAGAUGGUUUUUGCCAUCUAAAAUAUUAUUCAAAGCUAGAGAUCUUUUCUCUCUUCACCAGGAAGAAAUGUAUAAGAGUAAGGAUUUGGUUUCAAAUUGUUUGGUGAUGAUAUAGUUGAAGUUGAACUUGUUUUUUUUUUUUUUUCUUGCUAUAUGUUACAUUGUAACACUUAAACAAAGGAAUUAUUUUUCAGCAACAAAGAAGUAUCUUAAAACUACUCAACAGAAUUUGAAUCUUUCCUGAAAUUUGAUCCACACAUUUCUUGGCAACGUAUCGUUACCAACCCUCAUACUAAAUUUCUUUGUUAGAUGUACAAGUUGGUGGUGAUGUCGGAUAUGAAACUACUCAUUCAAUAGGUCUCAAGCCUUUCUGCUGACCAUUUUUUUCAAGCCAAUGAGUAUUUUACAAACCAGUUAUAAAAGCAAUUGUCAUAGAGCACAACAAAUUAAAGAGAAAGAAGACCAUGAAAACCCACUACCAAAUUAUGCAAGCUAUCCUUUAUAUCAUUUAAAAAAUAUCACAAUAUACUAG